rnacentral:rRNA from 1 species
UACGGGGGGGGCAAGCGUUGUUCGGAAUUACUGGGCGUAAAGGGCUCGUAGGUGGCCAACUAAGUCAGACGUGAAAUCCCUCGGCUUAACCGGGGAACUGCGUCUGAUACUGGAUGGCUUGAGAUUGGGAGAGGGAUGCGGAAUUCCAGGUGUAGCGGUGAAAUGCGUAGAUAUCUGGAGGAACACCGGUGGCGAAGGCGGCAUCCUGGGACGUGACUGACGCUGAGACGCGAAAGCGUGGGGAGCAAACAGG